AUUCCAGCUCCAAUAGCGUAUAUUUAAGUUGUUGCAGUUAAAAAGCUCGUAGUUGGAUUUCGGGUGGGAAUGGCCGGUCCGCCAUUUCGGUGUGCACUUGCUACUCCCACCUUGCUGCCGGGGACGUGCUCUUGAGUUUGCGCUCGGGACACGGAGUCGGCGAGGUUACUUUGAGUAAAUUAGAGUGUUCAAAGCAGGCCUACGCUCUGAAUACAUUAGCAUGGAAUAACACGAUAGGACUCUGGCCUAUCUUGUUGGUCUGUAGGACCGGAGUAAUGAUUAAGAGGGACAGUCGGGGGCAUUCGUAUUUCAUUGUCAGAGGUGAAAUUCUUGGAUUUAUGAAAGACGAACUACUGCGAAAGCAUUUGCCAAGGAUGUUUUCAUCA
rnacentral:rRNA from 1 species